rnacentral:rRNA from 1 species
GACGAACGCUGGCGGCGUGCUUAACACAUGCAAGUCAAGGGGGCUCAGCAAUGGGCAACCGGCGAACGGGUGCGUAACACGUGAGCAAGCUUCCGAUUUGUGGGGGAUAGCCGGCCCAACGGCCGGGUAAUACCGCAUACGUUCACUGGACGGCAUCGUCUGGUGAGGAAACCUCCGGGGCAAAUCGAGGCGCUCGCGGCCUAUCAGCUAGUUGGCGGGGUAACGGCCCACCAAGGCGACGACGGGUAGCUGGUCUGAGAGGAUGGCCAGCCACAUUGGGACUGCGACACGGCCCAGACUCCUACGGGAGGCAGCAGUGGGGAAUAUUGCGCAAUGGACGAAAGUCUGACGCAGCGACGCCGCGUGUGGGAUGAAGCCUUUCGGGGUGUAAACCACUGUUGCCCGGGACGAACAUCCGCUUUCGAGCGGACUGACGGUACCGGGUGAGGAAGCACCGGCUAACUCUGUGCCAGCCGCCGCUGUAAUAC